CAGUUCGGAUUGCAGGCUGAAACCCGCCUGUAUGAAGUUGGAAUCGCUAGUAAUCGCGGAUCAGCAUGCCGCGGUGAAUACGUUCCCGGGCCUUGUACACACCGCCCGUCACACCAUGAGAGUCGGGAACACCCGAAGUCCGUAGCCUAACCGCGAAGGGGGGCGCGGCCGAAGGUGGGUUCGAUAAUUGGGGUGAAGUCGUAACAAGGUACC
rnacentral:rRNA from 1 species